rnacentral:rRNA from 1 species
AUUGCACGCUGGCGGCAGGCCUAACACAUGCAAGUCGAACGAGUGGCGGACGGGUGAGUAAUGUCUGGGAAACUGCCCGGUGGAGGGGGAUAACUACUGGAAACGGUAGCUAAUACCGCAUACCAUCGGAUGUGCCCAGAUGGGAUUAGCUUGUGGGUGGGGUAACGGCGCACCUAGGCGACAAUCCCUAGCUGGUCUGAGAGGAUGAUCAUCCACACUGGGACUGAGACACGGUCCAGACUCCUACGGGAGGCAUCAGUGGGGAAUAGUGCACAAUGGGCGCAAGCCUGAUGCAGCCAUGCCGCGUGUAUGAAGAAGGCCUUAGGGUUGUAAAGUACUUUCAGCGGGGAGGCGUUACCCGCAGAAGAAGCACCGGCUAACUCCGUGCCAGCAGCCGCGGUAAUAC